rnacentral:rRNA from 1 species
ACGCUGGCGGCGUGCCUAACACAUGCAAGUCGAACGAGAAAGUGGAGCAAUCCAUGAGUAAAGUGGCGACCGGGUGAGUAACACGUGACUACCUACCUCUUAGUGGGGAAUAACUCCGGGAAACCGGGGCUAAUACCGCAUAACAUCGCAAGAUCAAAGCAGCAAUGCGCUGGGAGAGGGGGUCGCGGCUGAUUAGCUAGUUGGCGGGGUAAUGGCCCACCAAGGCGAAGAUCGGUAUCCGGCCUGAGAGGGCGCACGGACACACUGGAACUGAAACACGGUCCAGACUCCUACGGGAGGCAGCAGUGGGGAAUUUUGCGCAAUGGGGGAAACCCUGACGCAGCAACGCCGCGUGGAGGAUGAAGCCCUUUGGGGCGUAAACUCCUUUCGACUCGGACGAUGAUGACGGUACGAGUGGAAGAAGCACCGGCUAACUCUGUGCCAGCAGCCGCGGUAAUACAGAGGGUGCGAGCGUUGUUCGGAAUUAUUGGGCGUAAAGGGCGCGUAGGCGGUGCGGUAAGUCACCUGUGAAAUCUCCUGGCUUAACUGGGAGCCUGCAGGCGA